rnacentral:tRNA from 1 species
AGGGUUGUGGCUCAGUGGUAGAGUGCUUGCCUAGCAUGCAUGAGGCACUGGAUUUGAUCCCCAGUACCCAUA